GAAAACAUCUUUCGUGACGCUCUGAAAGAUUUCAGAGUUUCGGAGGAUGGCCUGAUUUCAGGCUAUUGUAAUUCGUUGGAGGAGGUGGAAACACUUCUCGAUCAGCUGAAAACUGUGGGGUUUUCAUACUGCGUGAGAAGUAGUCGUUUUAAAGAGCCUUCUUCAGAUGUUAUGAAAAGUAAAACAAAGCAUUUCUUCAAGCAAAUGCAGGGACAUGUCCCUAUCCCCUUUUUUGGUUGUGCAUUCGCAGUGGAGAGUGUGUGGUCGAGGCACUGUGUUUUGGGGCCAAAAUACUAUAAAAGUAAAGAGUCUAGUGUACCUGAGCACUUGGAAGACCAUGUGACUCCUCGUAAGAGAUUGAGGAUCAUGGAUACUAGAAAAUCCAACUGCCCAGCAAUUUUAAAUAUGAAGUGUAUAAGGGUGUAUCCUGAUUACAGUAUGCACUCAGCAACUGAACACAGGGAUACCAAGGCAAAAGUUCUUGCAAGUCUACAGAAAGAUUUGGCAUUGCCAUGCCCGCCUAAGAGCUAUCUACGUUAUUAUUUGACUGCUUCCCCAGCAAGUACACACACACACAUGCUACUGAAAGUGUUGAAGCAAGUGGGUACAUACAUCCUUCACUUGUAAAGGAAUUCAAAAACUUAGUACUCAGUGGCAUGACAUCUCUCAAAGUCAUUAAGUUGGCUCUAGACAGAUUUGUUGAAAUCAAUUUCACUGGGACACACAUACCAGGUCAAAUGAAUACUACCUUUUACCCCACAGAGAAAACUAUUUACAGUCACAUUUAUCGGACCCUUUAUGGUACAAAUAAAGUAUUGUUUGACGAGACUAGACUGCAGAAUCAGGUUGAUGAGUGGCACAAAGACUCGAGCAAUCACAUGAUUUAUUAUAGACAUUGUACGGGAGCCAAUGGAGAAGUGAAACCAUUACUUUUUUGCUAUCAGAGCAGUUGGCAGAGAGAUCUUUUGAAGAAGUAUGGGGGUAGUUGUUUGUUAGAUGCAACAUACAAAACAACAACAUAUGAUAUUCCUUUAUUUUUUAUAGCUGUGAAGAGUAAUGUGGGCUAUUUGGUUGUCGGUUUUUUUUUUUCAUUCAGAUUGAAAAUGCAAGAUCCAUUCAUGAAGCACUAGACAUUUUCAAGGACUGGAACAAGGAUUGGAAUCCCCUCUAUUGGGUUACUGAUUUCUCGGAGUCAGAGAUAAAUGCAAUUGAGCAAGCAUUCCCUCAGACAAAAGUUUACUUGUGCCUUUUCCAUCGAAAACAGGCAUGGGGAAGAUGGUUGAAAAAAAAGGAUAAUCUACGUGUACCAAAUGACAUGAAGACAUUUCUGGAUAUGUGGCAAGAAAUUUCAGAAUCACCAACAGAGAGAGAAUUUAGAGAUCGCGUAGAAGAGUUGCGAACGCAUGAGGUUUCUCGGAGAAACGAGCGUGCAUGGCCAUACUUUCAACAGCAAUGGCUAACGGUAUGUGAAAGAUGGGUGAAAGCGUAUGAGGACAAGGGCAGAUUUGCAACUAUUGACACUACAAAUGGAGUUGAAGCCAUGAACAAGGUUGUAAAACAUUUUUUCCUCAAACACAAUUCAGACAGGACUUUAACUGGGGUUACUAAGGUUAUAAUAAACCAGUUUCUUCCAAGCCUAAUUAGAAAGUACUGUCUGCAGAAUUCUGCCAUCAAAGCUUAAAACAAAGAUGUUCCACUGUUUUUGCAUAAAAAAACAAACAAGUUUGUGAAACAUGUCAUGCAGAGAUAUGCAUCGGCAAAAGUUGAGUUAACUGCAAGAUCAGUGAGUAGGAGAUCGGAUGGUUCAUUUUGUGUGGAGAGUGCAAAGUCCAAAAACUGUAAUUAUGUUAUAAACUUUGAUGUACCAGAUUGCACAUGUGAAGAUUUUCGGAGAUAUAAAUACCCAUGCAAGCAUUUCUGUGCAAUCUUUAUUUUUUACCCAGAGUGGGGUUUUGAUAAAAUGCCAGAAAGUUAUAAAACUAGUCCAUUAAUCUGUCUUGAUGAAAUGUAUGGGGUGGGCUUUAGAAGUGGCUCUUCAGUAAUUUCAUGUGAAGGCAGUAGUAGUGACGAAGCUGUUGAGGAGGCAGUUGAAGCAGCUGAGGAGGCUGUCGAGGUUGAGGAGGCUGUCGAGGCAGCAAAUACAGAUGGUGUUGUUCAAACCCAGAAUAUUCCUUUGCAGCAGUUUGAAGCAAGGGAGCUGUGUAAACAGAUUUAUAAUCUCACAUACAACUGCAGCAACAGCGAAACAUUACAAAAAGUACUUGAAUCACUGAGCAACUGUGUGCAAGAUUUGCAAUUAGCAAAUCCUGAAGUUGGUGGUCUCCCAUUAGCAGUGCCAUCAACUUCCAAACAAUAGCGAAGAACGAUGCCAAAAGCCUUACAAGAUCUGUCUUAAACACAUUAUAACUUCCCAUUUGAAGGGUAAGAAAUGACAGUUUAUUUGAAUUUUAGAUAGCUCUUUGUCUAUGUAAAAUACAAAUAAGCUCCGUCAUUUCUGAUCUUCGAGAUGGAAUGCUAUGAGGUCUUUAUGUUGGUCUCUGCUUUUAAACUUUGUUGCACAUUUGAAUUUCGAAGUAGCAAUAGAUAAAAUAUUAUAAAAAGGAUAGUUGCUACAUUUGUGUGUGUGUUUGUGAGUGAGCGAGUGUGCGCGUGCGCUUUUGAAAAGGCCCUUGUUGCCCGAAAGAUAAGUCCGACAGUCUUUUUGUUGUGCCUUUCUGUGACUCAGCAUCUUCACCAUUUGGUGAGCAGCAACAACUAUCCUUUUCAUAAUAUUGUUACAUUCCAUCCUUGAUUUUUCGUUGUUCAUCAGAGAAAAGAUUUUUCUGAGGAAUUAAACUAGUUGGUAGUGUAGAACUUGCAAACUUUUUAAAAUAUGAAGUAAAAGAUUUUAACUUUAAAUUAGGUUAAUUCAAAUAUGGGACAAUGUUGAGAAUUGAAAAGGUGGAAAAAAUAAAUAAUGUAUAUCUUAGUGGCAUUGAGAUGUCGUAUGACUGAUGGAGGAAAGAUUUUGCAUUUCUUUUUCCAAGUAAGAAUGCACUUGCUCUCACUUGCUUCAAUACAUGUCUAGUGAUUCACGUGAAACAGAGAAAAGGAUAGACUGCCCUGUUAAUGAACAUGAGAUUGCCCAGUAUCACUCUGACAGAAGAGUAUGGUGUUUCCUUGAUAUGGUAUCUGGUCAGCAAUGUCAUUGGGACCAAAUGAAAGUUACUGCAGAUACCACACAGAAGCAAUUACUGUUACUGGAAUACCAGUAAUGUUUAUUAAAUUCAGUUGUAAAGCAGUUAUGGGCAUUGCAGCUGGUGAGCAAUGUCAUUGGGCACCAUUUUGGAAUUGUGCCUUGAAAACAUGUGUAUCAGUUGCCUUCAUGUUGCAUAACUCAAUUACUUGUUGUUAAUUUAUUUGUUAGGUUCAGUUAUGAUGGAUUUCUGGCCUUCAGUCCAUGGGAAAAUUCACACCAGAUUGCAUCAAGACUGUUAUAUUCCAAGGAUAUCUUGGAAGAUUGAUAGUAUUCCUGAAGGAAAACAAUCCAUAUAGUAUUUCACGUGUGUAUCAAACUCCAUUUGUUGUGGCACAUAAAUGUUUGCAACUUGAUUGUAAUUUUUGAACAGUUUCUCAACAAUCCAAGAAUUUCUUGUAAUGAAAAGUAGACAUUGUUGCUUGGGUAAAGGAAAUACAAAUCACGGUCAAUAUAACUACCUUAUUAACUUUCCACAGAGAAAUAUUUUUCACUACUGCUACUUAAAAAUUCAAAUGUGUGACAAAGUUUGCUUACAGAACUUGGCAUAAAGAUCUCCCUUAUUUGUAUUUUUUAGGUAGCUCUUAUUGUUUGAUCCUUCAAAUGGAAUGCUAUGACCUCCAUGUGAUCUAUUCCUUAGUAGUUAAUUAUCCAUUAAGGCACAAAUAUAUGAACAUUACAAUGAGAGGGGUCUUUAUGCCAGGCCCUGUAAAAGUAAUGGCAUCUUACUUAAUAUUAUUGUUGGGAAUUUGAUGGCACAGCUGUGGGAGACCACAAAUUUCAGGGUUUGCUGCAAAUCUGGCACACAGUUGCUGAGUGAUUCAAGUACUUUUCAUAAUGUUUCACUGUUGAUACAGUUGUUUGUGAGAUUAUAAACCUGUUUGAACAACACCUUCACUUCAAAUUGCUGCAAAGAAAUGGUUAAGGUAUCAGUGUGAUGCUCUAUAUGUGUUUCCUCAACUGUGUCCUCAUUGCUACUGUCUUCAUGUGAAAUUACUGCAGACACUUCUGAAACCAAACCUGUACAUCUUGUGAAGACAGAUUAAUGGGCUAUUCCUGCAGCUUUCUGGUAUUUUAUCAAAACCCUACUCUGGAUAGAAAAUAAAGAUUGCACAGAAAUGCUUGCAUGGGUAUUUAUAUAUCUCAAAAUCUUCACAUGCGCAGUUUGGUAGAGCAAAGCUUACAACAUAAUUAGUCUUUGAACAUUGUACUCUCCAUACAAAACAUUGUCCAACUUCACAUUCACUAAUCUUGCAGUUAAUUCAACUUUCCCUGGUGCAUAUCACUGCAUGACAUGUUUCACAAACUUGCUUUUUUUAUGAAAAAACAGUGGAACAUGUCUGUUAUGAUUUGAUGGCAGAAUUCUGCAGACAGUACUUUCUAGUUAGGCUUGGAAGAAAUUGAUUUCUUAUAUCCCUAGUAGCCCCAUUGAAGGUCUCAUCUGUGUUCCAUUUUAGGAAAAAAGAAUGUUUACAAUCUUGUUCAUGGCGUCAACUCCACUUGUAAUGUCAAUGGUAUCAAAAUUGCCCUUCUCCUCAUAAGCUUCCACUCACUUUUCAUGUACCAAUAGCCACUGCUGUUAAACAUACGGUGAUGCAUAUUCGUUUCUCUGAGAAGCCUCACUCUCUUCUGUAUGAUCUGUAAAUUCUCUGUUGGUGAUUCUGAAAUUUCUUGCCACAUGCCCCGAAAUCUCUUCAUGUCAUUUGGUAUUUAUUCAGCCAUCUUCCUCAAACCUGUUUGACUGAAAAGGCACAAGUAAACUUUUGUCUGAGGAAAUGCUUGAUCAGUUGCGUUUAUCUCAGACUAUAAGAAAUCAGUAACCCAGUAGGUGGGAUUCCAAUCCUUGAAAAUGGCUAGUGCUUCAUGAAUGGAUCUCGCAUUUUCAACUUGAAUGAAAAAGAAAACCAAAUAACCCACAUUACUCUUUACAGCUAUAAAAAAAUAAAGGCAUAUCAUGUGUUGUUGUUUUGUAUGUUGCAUAUAACAACUAUCCCUGUACUUCUUCAAAAGAUCUCUUCGCUAACAGCUCUGAUAGAAAAAAGUGAUGGUUUCACUCCUCCAUUGGCACCUAUACCAUGUUUGUAAUAAAUCAUGUGAUUGCUUUAUUCCUUGUGCCACUCGUCAGCAUGAUUCUGCAAUCGAGUCUCGUCAAACAAUGCUUUAUUUGUACAUUAAAAGGUCCAAUAUGUGUGAAUAUAAUUUUUUUCAGUGGGGUAAAAUGUAGUAUUCAUUAGGCCUGGUAUGUGUGUCCCAGUGAAAUUAUCAAUAAAUGUAUCUAGAGCCAAAUUAUUGGCUGUAUGAUGUCAUUCCAUCGUGCACCUGAAUUUGUAUUUCCUUUACAAGCUAUUGUUAGCAUGUGUGUGUGCUGAUUUGCUGGAGAAGCAGAGAGAUAGUGUUUCAGCUAUCUUUGAGACAGUUAAAGGAGGUGCUUUAGAAAUGAGUGUCCUGAUUGAUAUGAAAAAGUUUUCAAAUUUUCUGUACAAACUAUAAACAGUUCCUCAGUUGGUGAUUGUGGAAGAGAUUGCCAUAGCCACAGUAUUGAUCCACUGUCAGGUGGUAAACCUAAGAUUUCCUUCCAGUAUGAGCCAAGUGAAGUAAAACGGUGGUUGGAGAAAUGUUUUAUAUUCUUAAACUGAGUAUUUGUAACCCAUUAUGGUGGAUUGCAGUUCAUGUGUCAACACUUAAAAAUGUUUAGUU